ensembl:lncRNA
AUCCCGGAAGAGGUUACUCAUUCUGCUGUUCAGUCGGUUUGCCCUAUGAUUUCACGUUUCAAUCCACAGUUUGCUAACCUCUCCUUUGGAAAUGCUGAUGAAGAUCUCGUGAGGUUCAGCUGAAGGUUUCUGAAUUGCAGCCCCUGCAGGUCUGUCUCCUUAUUUUGAAAACAUAGCCCUGAAUGUAGGUCUUUAUGUGGUCCUUUUGAUGUGUGCUGGUGACCUGUGAGCCUCACCUCUUGCAAAUGAAGGGGUCUCUGCACCUGUGUGCCUGGCAGAAGCACUAGACCUUGUAAAUGCAGCUGUUUUAACCAAGCACUGGUUCAGUGGUGUAACUUCUCAGGUAGGUAGGGCAUUGACUUAGCUGAAGAGGACUCAAGACAUACUGAAAAGAUGGGAGGAGAACAUAGCUUUGUUUCUCACACCCCAAAGAGUCUGCUCCUCCAGAGAUGUGACAGCAAUGGAGAAUGCAAUUGGAAGGCAGUCAUUUGAAGGCAGCUGUGGUGGGAAGAAAAGGGUAUGCUGAGGCUGGAUAAAUCAGAAAAGCAAACCCACCUGCUUUCUCUAUUCAGUUAUGCUUUAAGGGUCUGCAGCUGAGCGAAAAGGAGAAAACUCCAGCUUGAAGCCAAAGCAGAAAAGUAGAAAUAAGUGGAAGGUUUAAUCUCUUUUGAGGAUUAUCUGAUUGGAAUGGUUCCCAACACAGAGCCUCUGCAGGGAGUUCAGUGGGGACAAGUCUCAUGAGCCAUAAACCUACGUUUUGCAUGACUAGUAAAGCAUCACUGAGUGUGUGGAGAGCAUACUGCACGAAGUUGUCCACACACUAAUAUUUGCUUCCUGUCUGAGCAUCUAAGCAUAUGCACAAGAAUGCAGUGCCAGUUCCCUACAUGCUGUAAGAGUAGGAUUACCAUGCUGCUUCCCAUUGUCCUCAGCCAACCCUCUAAACAAAAAAAGGUUGAGCUCUAUUGGAGGGGACAAGAAGAGACAGCCUGAAUGGAAAAGAAAUCAAGGAAGCCAAAUAAAAAAUGGAGAGCUUUGGAAAUACAGCCAAGUUCCAGAGAAAUCCCUGGCAGAAGGUUUGGGACAGGCUCCAUUGGAAGGUUUUGAACAUCCUGAAGUUGAAGAGUCUGAAAAAGUCAUCCAGAAUAUGCUCGUGCAGAAUAAGGUGGCAAAAAUGAAGGAUGCAUCAUUCUGUGAUUAUCUAAUUAAAGAGCUUUCAAAAAGAGCCUUCAUUGCACUUCCAGACCCAAAGGAGAGACUGACCCAAAAUAUAAUUGAAGUUUGUGUAAUGGAGAGAGUCUCUGCCCUGUCAAUCCUAUGAUCUGGAAACUUCAAUUUUGGAUGAGGGCAGAAAAGAUCAGCCCAAUGACCUGGAAGUCUCCCUUACCAGUUGGAGCAGAAUCAACCGCUAUCCUGGGAGAAUCUAAGUUUUGUGGCAAGGACCUCUGAGAAGAUCAUGAAACUGAAUUCCAGGGACUUUUGCUCAUCAUCCUUAGACAAAAUAGUUCUGUUGGAUGGCUCCGCAUUUAAUUGCUGAGGAAACCUGAUCAGAGCAGAAAGGACAUUCCCAGCCUCUGGCUAAGCUGUUGGCUUUACUUAGUGGCUUCUAUCAGUCCUGUGCUUCUCAAAAAGUUCCUUUCAGGUGCAUCUUUCCUGAAAGAUUAAAUACUUCUGUGCAGAUUACAGUGCUGGGGAUUAAUUGCCCCCUGAGGCUGAAAAACCAAUCUCUUAGGCCAUGUACACAAGAUACAAAAUGUGGAUAAAACAGGAAGAGUAGAGAUUUGCCACACAAAGCAGUUGGAAAAUAUAUUAUUUAAGGAUAAUCUAAUCUCUUACUUAAGAAAAAGAAAUGGAGGAAUACGGAGCAAGAAAAGGAAAAGGAGGAAUACAGAGCAAAGUCUGUCCUAGGCAGUGAGAAGUAUUCAGUCCUAGAAAGGCUCCCAAAUGCAGUUGCUACAGGAAUCUGGGGCUCAGUCCAACUCCACUAAAGCUGAUGAAAAACUUGUGAAGUUUGCAUCCUCCAUGCUGCAAGAAGCUAGGAGAGAUUUGAAAGAUGUGAGGAAAGGGGGAGUGAAGGUUGUUGAGAAUAAGAGAAAAGCCUGAACUGAGAAAUUCACAGUAGCAAGCAGAUUUCAAACCCAGAGAGACUUGGAGGGUCUGGGAUUGAGGAUACUAGUUUGGACAGUUACCAAGAGAGAGGAACUGCCUCAAUAUUUGGAUCAUAAACUGGCUUCCAAGUCUGGUGUUCCUGCCCUCCCUUUUCCAAAUGUAUUUGGGUUUACUGGGAGCUACUCCUAGGUCCUAUCUGUUUAACUAGCUACAUCCAUGUUUGUGUAAUGAUAAGUCUAUGUGCUCUUUGUGUAGUAUUUCAGUCUUGGUACAGAGGCCCUGUACCAUUGGGGCAGCUGGUGGUGUGGGACAGCCCGAACUACUGUUUCCCUUGUUGGUUGUGGAAAUGAGCUUCAGUUGUAGGACAGAGAUCCAUGGGCUGUGAUAUGGGAGCAAAUGUGUUAGAUGAAAUCUAGAGUUCACUCACAGAUUAAAUAAACCAUUGUGAU